GACGAACGCUGGCGGCGUGCUUAACACAUGCAAGUCGAACGGAAAGGCCUGCUUUCCCUUGUGGAUUGCGGGUACUCGAGUGGCGAACGGGUGAGUAACACGUGAGUGAUCUGCCCCCAACUUGGGUAUAAGCCUGGGAAACUGGGUCUAAUUCCCGAUAGGACUGCAGGGUGGUGCCUGUGGUGGAAAACGAUUUUCUAGUGGUUGGGGAUGAGCUCGCGGCCUAUCAGCUUGUUGGUGGGGUAAUGGCCUACCAAGGCGGCGACGGGUAGCCGGCCUGAGAGGGUGGACGGCCACAUUGGGACUGAGAUACGGCCCAGACUCCUACGGGAGGCAGCAGUGGGGACUAUUGCACCAUGGGCGGAAGCCUGAUGCAGCGACGCCGCGUGGGGGAUGACGGCCUUCGGGUUGUAAACUCCUUUCGACCGCGAGGAAGCCACCUGGUUGGAAGGGUGGUGACGGUAGUGGUAGAAGAAGCACCGGCUAACUACGUG
rnacentral:rRNA from 1 species